CAGGCUUAACACAUGCAAGUCGAGGGGCAGCAUCAUCAAAGCUUGCUUUGAUGGAUGGCGACCGGCGCACGGGUGAGUAACACGUAUCCAACCUGCCGACAACACUGGGAUAGCCUUUCGAAAGAAAGAUUAAUACCGGAUGGCAUAGUUUUCCCGCAUGGGAUAAUUAUUAAAGAAUUUCGGUUGUCGAUGGGGAUGCGUUCCAUUAGGCAGUUGGCGGGGUAACGGCCCACCAAGACUACGAUGGAUAGGGGUUCUGAGAGGAAGGUCCCCCACAUUGGAACUGAGACACGGUCCAAACUCCUACGGGAGGCAGCAGUGAGGAAUAUUGGUCAAUGGGCGCGAGCCUGAACCAGCCAAGUAGCGUGAAGGAUGAAGGCUCUAUGGGUCGUAAACUUCUUUUAUAUGGGAAUAAAGUUUUCCACGUGUGGAAUUUUGUAUGUACCAUAUGAAUAAGGAUCGGCUAACUCCGUGCCAGCAGCCGCGGUAAUACGGAGGAUCCGAGCGUUAUCCGGAUUUAUUGGGUUUAAAGGGAGCGUAGGUGGAUUGUUAAGUCAGUUGUGAAAGUUUGCGGCUCAACCGUAAAAUUGCAGUUGAAACUGGGAGUCUUGAGUACAGUAGAGGUGGGCGGAAUUCGUGGUGUAGCGGUGAAAUGCUUAGAUAUCACGAAGAACUCCGAUUGCGAAGGCAGCUCACUAGACUGUCACUGACACUGAUGCUCGAAAGUGUGGGUAUCAAACAGGAUUAGAUACCCUGGUAGUCCACACAGUAAACGAUGAAUACUCGCUGUUUGCGAUAUACAGUAAGCGGCCAAGCGAAAGCAUUAAGUAUUCCACCUGGGGAGUACGCCGGCAACGGUGAAACUCAAAGGAAUUGACGGGGGCCCGCACAAGCGGAGGAACAUGUGGUUUAAUUCGAUGAUACGCGAGGAACCUUACCCGGGCUUAAAUUGCAACAGAAUAUAUUGGAAACAGUAUAGCCGUAAGGCUGUUGUGAAGGUGCUGCAUGGUUGUCGUCAGCUCGUGCCGUGAGGUGUCGGCUUAAGUGCCAUAACGAGCGCAACCCUUAUCUUUAGUUACUAACAGGUUAUGCUGAGGACUCUAGAGAGACUGCCGUCGUAAGAUGUGAGGAAGGUGGGGAUGACGUCAAAUCAGCACGGCCCUUACGUCCGGGGCUACACACGUGUUACAAUGGGGGGUACAGAAGGCGGCUACCUGGUGACAGGAUGCUAAUCCCAAAAACCUCUCUCAGUUCGGAUCGAAGUCUGCAACCCGACUUCGUGAAGCUGGAUUCGCUAGUAAUCGCGCAUCAGCCAUGGCGCGGUGAAUACGUUCCCGGGCCUUGUACACACCGCCCGUCAAGCCAUGAAAGCCGGGGGUACCUGAAGUACGUAACCGCAAGGAGCGUCCUAGGGUAAAACUGGUAAUUGGGGCUAAGUC
rnacentral:rRNA from 1 species